ensembl:lncRNA
GGCAGAGCGAGGCAAAGGCAAAACUAGGUGAGGCGAGGCAAAGGAGAGGCGAGGCGUGGCGAGGCAGAGCGAGGCAAAGGCGAAACGAGGCGAGGUGAGAGAAAGGACAGGCAAGGUGAGGCAAAGGUGAGGCAGAGCGAGGCAAAGGUGAGGCGAGGCGUGGUGAGGCAGAGCGAGGCGAGGCGAGGCGGGGCGAGGCGAGACGAGGUGAUAGGUGGCGAGGCAAGGCAAAGGCGAAGCGAGGCAUUGCAAAGUGAGGGAAAAGCGAGGCGAGGCGAGGCGAGCCAAGGCGAGACAAGGCAAAGGCAAGGCGAGGCAUGGCAACGUGAGCCAAUGCGAGGUGAGGCGAGGCGAGGCACGGCGUGGCGAGGCG